GUCUUCCCCCCAGACAAAUAGAGCACAACCAUUUGGUGAAGGCAAUUCUCGACUCCUGAAAACAGGUCCCGGCGAAUAAUUGCUUCAAACAAAUGAUCUGUUGAAGGUCCAUUAGUCCAGCGUCUUGCUUGGCUAAUAGUGUUCAGUGAUAUCAGAGAUUGCUGGAAGGGAUCAUGCCAUGGAACAGAUGGGGCCAUCCUCUCACAGCUGUAAAUGAGAUUUCAGAAUGGACCCUGAGUCUUCAUCUUUACCUGAGCACUCAUGACAAAAAAAAGAGAACGAUUCUAACCUCUGCGGCUAUGUCACGCUUCACAAAACCGUAGCCAAUUACUCUUCCACUGCUGGGGAUCCCGAUUGCAUUCAAGGAGGGUAUAUUUGCCUGGUUCAUGCCCCUUUUGAUGCAUGCACAGUCCCCGACUGCCUUCUUUUUCGCCUGUGCUUUGUUGGAUUCGCACAUGAGGCUCAUCCACUUUUGCACAGACACCCCGGUCUGCUAACCAGAGUUCUUGCUAGGGCUGGCACUCCGAUAUUGGCCCAAAUCACUGGAUCGGAUAUCGGAAUUAAGGAAAAAAACGUGUAAUCCGAUCCGAUACUGUUGCUUAAUGUAAAUAACACAAUAUCAUUAACAUGUGGCACUGAUCUACAACUCAUCUGCAACAGCCAUUCAGAAAUUAAAACACACUGAUCUACUACUACUGCUACUGCCACAUCUAAAAACACUGUUUAAACACAAUAAAAAUCACUUUAUAAAUGAUAAAUCGCUAAUCUGAGAUGAAGAAAACCUAUCUUGUCCCGGCUUGGAGAUAUCUCACAUCCUCAACGAUUAAUCCAGUAGUGUUUUGAAAUAAUUUAAUAAUUUUAAAAUGUGACAGAACUUUAACGGAAAAUCUCAUCUCUGAAUCAGUUCUAAUCGGUCCAUCACGUUUGAUUGCUUAAACGCAAGUGAAACCAAAAA